GAAAUGCCAUCAAAAGUAUCUCCAUUCCCUGUACAGCCUGGAACACUGCAUUUACGACCCUGGUUCAUUGUCAAUAUCCUGGAAAAUAUUCCAAACUUUCUUCUUUGUAAAUCCCCUGCGAGUGGU